GACGAACGCUGGCGGCGUGCUUAACACAUGCAAGUCGAACGGAAAGGCCUUUUCGGAGGUACUCGAGUGGCGAACGGGUGAGUAACACGUGGGUGAUCUGCCCUGCACUCUGGGAUAAGCCUGGGAAACUGGGUCUAAUACCGGAUAGGACCGCACUUUAGUGUGUGUGGUGGAAAGUUUUUUCGGUGUAGGAUGAGCCCGCGGCCUAUCAGCUUGUUGGUGGGGUAAUGGCCUACCAAGGCGGCGACGGGUAGCCGGACUGAGAGGUUGGUCGGCCACAUUGGGACUGAGAUACGGCCCAGACUCCUACGGGAGGCAGAAGGGGGGAAUAUUGCACAAUGGGCGCAAGCCUGAUGCAGCGACGCCGCGUGGGGGAUGACGGCCUUCGGGUUGUAAACUCCUUUCGCCAGGGACGAAGCGUUUUGUGACGGUACCUGGAGAAGAAGCACCGGCUAACUACGUG
rnacentral:rRNA from 1 species